UACGUAGGGGGCAAGCGUUGUCCGGAUUUAUUGGGCGUAAAGAGCGUGUAGGCGGCCAGAUAGGUCCGUUGUGAAAUCCCGAGGCUCAACCUCGGGUCUGCAGUCGAUACGAGCAAACUAGAGUGUUGCAGGGGAGACUGGAAUUCCUGGUGUAGCGGUGAAAUGCGCAGAUAUCAGGAGGAACACCGGUGGCGAAGGCGGGUCUCUGGGCAACAACUGACGCUGAGGAGCGAAAGCGUGGGGAGCGAACAGG
rnacentral:rRNA from 1 species